CCCCUCCAGCCUGCAGACAGCCUCCAACCGUGAUUCCAGAACCUGCCAGCAUUUCCCACCAACUCCUUCUGCCCGGUUUAUUUCUCCCCACCACUCCUGGUCUCACUCAACCCCCCAACCCUAUGGCCAGACACGCCCCCGCUCCCACCAGCGCAUCCAGCACGCGCGCGCCCACCUGGCGGCCCAGCGCGGCCAGGCGCGCCUGCAGCUCGGCCACGGAGAAGACGCGGCUCUGGCAGUGCUGUACCAGCUCGGAGAACAGCAGUGCGAAGGCGCUCAGGCUUACCUCGGUGCGCGGCCGCGCCAGCGCGCGCUCCAGCAGCGCCGACUUCCCGCGCGUGAAGCGCGCCUCCAUGCCGCCGCCACCCUGCGGGGAGACGGUUCAAUUGCGAAAGCGCCUUCCUGCCCGCUCCGCCACCUACAGGAGUAACUAGAAAACUAGUGUAUGGGGGAAGGGGCGUCAGAUCUAGGGCAGGGAGGUGACAAAGAUGAGGCACCACGAGGGGAUAUGGGCAGUCGCUCCU
rnacentral:lncRNA from 1 species